rnacentral:misc_RNA from 1 species
GAUGAAGAACGUAGCGAAAUGCGAUACGUAAUGUGAAUUGCAGAUUUCAGUGAAUCAUCGAAUCUUUGAACGCACAUUGCGCCCCCUGGUAUUCCGGGGGGCAUGCCUGUCCGUGCGUCAUUACAACCCUCAAGCUCAGCUUGGUGUUGGGCCCCGCCGCCCCGGCGGGCCCUAAAGUCAGUGGCGGUGCCGUCCGGCUCCGAGCGUAGUAAUUCUUCUCGCUCUGGAGGUCCGGUCGUGUGCUCGCCAGCAACCCCCAAUUUUUUUCAGGUUGACCUCGGAUCAGGUAGGGAUACCCGCUGAACUUAAGCAUAUCAAUAAGCGGAGGA